UCCAUGGCAAGAAAAUCUGGUGGACAUUCUCAAGGAAGUAGGAAUGAAAAAGGGAAGGAGAAAGCUAGGGGACCUUCCUCUGAUUCUCAAGCUUUGCGAACAAGAGCAAUGGAGGAAAUCCUUGGAGUAGAGGCUUUGGAUUUUGGUGUAGGAAUAGGACAACCGAUGACACCUGAAACAUCAAUUCAGGAUUUGAAAAAUCAGUCUGAGAUCAAGCACACCUUCAAUGAAUGGAUGCAAUCCAUUCAUGAUAGCUUAAGGAAGGAUCACCAUGCAUCUGUUUGUGAAAAGUAAUCUGUAAGAGAUUUUUCAGGUUGACUGAUGCAUACUACAUAUGGGGAGCUAGUGAGGAUUACUACAUAGCUUAGUUUAGUAGUCAUUAUGUUUUACAUUUCCCUUUGUCUUAGUUGAAACAAUAAAUUUUUAAUUAUCAAUAAAGAGAAGUUAUUUUUUUC